UAUGCACAUUAAUAGUUGGGUUUUGUUUCUUUAUUUUGUUCUUAUUUUAACCCAAAGAAAAUGAAAUCUUUUUUUUUCCACUUCCAGUUCUGACUUAAGCUUCAAAAUGAAAUGUCUAAGGAUAGUAGAGAUAUUAAAUCAGAAUUACAUGAUAACAUAUUGCAGAAUUUUGGAAUAUUCAUUUAUUAGAUGGAGAAUUGAACUCCAGGAAGUACGUUCUUUAAUUUUAAUAUCUAUUCUGCAUUGGUGUUUGAGUAAAAAUGAAAUCAAGUUCAUAGUUUGGCCAAGUGCCACAAAGUCAGAGCUUCAUUCAGGUUGUCCCUCCAAACAAUUUGCUGUAGUGCAUUAACCAGAAAUGCUGAUGCAGCAAGGGAAACACUAAUAAAUGGGAUGCUUUCCAGGGACUGUUGCCAAGGUCUUUUACUACCAUUCCUACAGUGGUUGGCAAGAUAUCGUUUCUACCUCACUCUCCAUGUACCAUGCCAGUGACAUCUUAGCUGCUAGAGUGUGGAGCUGGCCUGUGGGAGUCAAGUCACCUUGUAAAUUUUGCUACAUAAAUUAACACAUCCCUUGUUAUGUCAUAACAACCAUGUAAGGGAGAGUGUUUUCCUGCUCUGUCUUAGGUAUUGGUGAUGUGACCUGUUCACGCAGGGGAAACUUGAACAUUCUCAGAUGCAUUGCUGAGCAAAAGAAGCCAGACACUAAACGUGAAUACAUUAUGAUCCUUUC